rnacentral:rRNA from 1 species
AUUGAACGCUGGCGGAAUGCUUUACACAUGCAAGUCGAACGGCAGCACGGGUGCUUGCACCUGGUGGCGAGUGGCGAACGGGUGAGUAAUGCGUCGGAACGUACCGAGUAAUGGGGGAUAACGCAGCGAAAGUUGUGCUAAUACCGCAUACGCCCUGAGGGGGAAAGUGGGGGACCGCAAGGCCUCACGUUAUUCGAGCGGCCGACGUCUGAUUAGCUAGUUGGUGGGGUAAAGGCCUACCAAGGCGACGAUCAGUAGCGGGUCUGAGAGGAUGAUCCGCCACACUGGGACUGAGACACGGCCCAGACUCCUACGGGAGGCAGCAGUGGGGAAUUUUGGACAAUGGGCGCAAGCCUGAUCCAGCCAUUCCGCGUGAGUGAAGAAGGCCUUCGGGUUGUAAAGCUCUUUCGGCA